CCGCACGGGUGAGUAACGCGUAUGCAACUUGCCUAUCAGAGGGGGAUAACCCGGCGAAAGUCGGACUAAUACCGCAUGAAGCAGGGGCCCCGCAUGGGGAUAUUUGCUAAAGAUUCAUCGCUGAUAGAUAGGCAUGCGUUCCAUUAGGCAGUUGGCGGGGUAACGGCCCACCAAACCGACGAUGGAUAGGGGUUCUGAGAGGAAGGUCCCCCACAUUGGUACUGAGACACGGACCAA
rnacentral:rRNA from 1 species